AUUGUAUGUUUGUAUGUAUGUAUUAGGGUGGGUACGUUUUUCAGAAAGUUCUCGGAUCAAGUUUUAGUAUGGUUCCCCUUGUAGGGCAUGCCCAUAGGGACUUUCAUGCCAAAUAUCAGCUCAUUUGGUUGUAAACUGGCUGCGCACCAGCCAAAAAUCAAUUUUCCAAUCGAUUUUUAAGCUUUAAAAAUCAUUGGAUAGAAGAACUCUUCAAUUUUUAGAAAUUUUCAGGGUUGGAAGUUUAACUUGUUUUAUGUGACUUUGCCAAUGUUUUAAAAAUGUCAUUUUUUUAGGGGUUAACUUUGGCUGUGUUUUUUACUAACAUUUCCUAUAUUUUGAGUAAAAAGAAGUAUGCAGUAAUUUUUGUAGUGUCCCAGACUAUGCUUCUACGCAUUUUUUUUUUGCAAUUUAAGAGCGAGUCCACGAACAGGGCAUACCCCUUUGUAUGGGACGUCGUUUGAACCUCACCAAUCUGUCUGAAAUUUGCAGGGGUUGUUUGUACAUAUAAAACUAGCAUCUGGCCAAAAUAUGAGCACUCUAGGUCAACGGGAAGUGGGGCAAAUCGGGACACAAAGUUUGAAGGUUAAAAAACGUCAAAAAUCUUAAAAAGGCUAUAACUUUGGCAAAAUUCAAUUUAAUUUCAAAAUUCAAAAUGCAUCUGAAAGGGCUUAAAAAAUGCAACAAAAUGCAGGGAGAACCAUCCGAAUUGGUUAAAUCUAAAGGGAGUUAUUGGCAUUUCAGUGAAAAAAUAGCAUCAUUUUCAAACUCAAAUAAAAAAGUGUUCCAUCCAGAUAUCAACUCGGUUCGACCUGCAGCUUGUAGGGGACAUCUGGGUCUACCAUCUGAGACUAAUGACGCUUUGGGUAAGGCAGUUUAACAUAUUAAAUAGACACUUUUACUUUUAGUAAAUUUUUUGGUUGUAAAUUUUUGCUCCGGAGACCCUUUAGAUCCCAUUUUCUGGUGAUAAUUCUAUCAUAUUCGUGUUCCUGAGACAAUUUCACAUAAGAUACAUGCAUAAAAGUUGUUAUUUUCAUCAAUUUUAACCCUUUAAAAAAUGAAAGAUAAAAAAAAUCUUAGAUUCACAUUUAAUGAAAAUCAAGUUCGUUUCCAAGGAUACUAGAUGACACCAGAAAAAAAGCAGCUUCUUAAUUUUUUUAUCUUUCAUUUUUUAAAGGGUUAAAAUUGAUUAAAAAUAACAACUUUUAUGCAUGUUUCUUAUGUGAAAUUGUCUCAGGAACACGAAUAUGAUAGAAUUAUCACCAGAAAAUGGGUUAGUUUUAUAUAUUUAAAUUGGGCUAGUUUUAUAUGUACAAACAACCCCUGAGAAUUUCAGGCAGAUUGGUGAGGUCGAUGCGAGAUGGGUAUGCUUUGCUCGUGGACUCGCUCUUAAAUGAUGAUGGUGCCAUUCUAUAGCAGAAAAUGUGAAAAACAUGCAUAAAAUUGAAAAAGUGACUGUAAAAACGUUUAAAAAUUAGGUAGGCAAAAUGUAGGCAAAAUUAGGUCAGGGGUGCCCAGCCUUUUGGCCCUGCGGGCCAGGUCUGAUUUUACUGAAGCAGUGGCGGGCCGGAAUUAUUAUUUGAUAAAAGUUGAAAAGUAAACAUUUUUUUUUCAAUUUUCAUAUGAUUGGGUUCUUUAAAAGCAAAUACAUAAAAGAACUAGUGUUGCGAAUAUGAUUCAUACAUCUUGAUUUUAAAAAUGGAAAACAGAGAUUACAUUCAAAAAUGUGUUUAUUUGACUUAUUUUAAUUUUUGUAUGUUUAAAAUUGUACAGAUAUUGUUUUUGACGAUUGCAAUCAAAUAUCACAUCCGAAUUUCAAUUAUCGUUGCAAUUUUUUGAAGUUUUUGAUACAUUUUUUAAUAUUUUAAAAAUAUUUCCUGCGAUCUAUUUUCAGUAUGAAUAAUUUGAUUUUUAAACUUUUUGAAAAAACUUUAUCACUAAAAAGUUGUUCUGGAAAAAUACCUAAGUUUUGCUUACUUAUUUAUUAAAAAAAAGAAAAUAGAAAAAAAAACUUCAAAUUGAAGUAAACACAGUUAAAACUGAAAGAAAUAACAUUUAGUCUCUUUUUGUAAAUUUAAAGACAACAAUCCAAGUUUUUUCAUAAAUUUCACAAUUUUACGAAAUGGAUUAUUUUGUUUUCCUGCACAAUUUAAAAGUUAGUUAAAAAAUAUCAAUAUAAAAAUUAUAAGAAUUAAAUUCAAACAUGAAGAAUGUUCUUAUGAUAUGUUAAAAUUUGAUCUCCAGCUUAAGCCUUAAGGGCCGGUCAUAGAAAUAUUUUAAAAAGACAUCGCGGGUCGGAUGAAAUGGCUUCACGGGCAGGAUCCGGCCCGCGGGCCGGACGUUGGGCAGGCCUGUAUUAGGUGGUAGAAAAGGCCAAAUACUACCAAAGACAAACAUAAACUAAACAAGAUAAAUGCAAAUUAAAAUACUAAAAAUAAAACAAGAAUAAAAUUAAACAAGAGAAGCAAAGUUUUUCGUAGAACAAAAGUUGCUCAAAAUGACCUCCUGAAUACGGGAAAAAUAAAUAUUUUCGAAAAAAAAAAUGUGGGCAGUAGAGGGUUAAGUAUCUUUUUUGACGAAGGUGAUGUGCAUGCUUUUGCAUGCGAUUUUACCAUCUGAUUUUUUGCUGUGUAGAUAAAAGAAAGGUACUUGUGAUUGGUACUAGCAAUAGUGGCCGACAGCUGUAAAGUCAACUUCGAUUUUUACUUAAUUUAUAAUUUAUAUUAUAAGGUCCUCUUAGGUACUGAUCCUAGGUUGGAACCGAGUGUCUGAUAAAAAAAAAAAUAUAUAAAACGUACACAGCAAAAAAAUAUAAUAUUCAUCUGAAAAUAGUGGCAGAUUUUGUGCAAAACAAGUGUAAUAUCACAUCAGGAAUUGGUGAUUUUUCAUCAGUUUCUGAUGAAUUUGCCUCUGAUGAAUUUGCCUAAAAUAGUAUUUUUGACGGAAACACACUUGACAGAAAAGCACGACCUAGACGAAUUUGAGAUCCAGAAUUACCGAUGCAGUUGCUGUCUGUCCAGAUCAGCACACACGGGUGGGGUGAUGGUGUAUGUACAUAGCUAAAAAAGUAGUAAUCCAGCUACGUGUAAAAGGCCUGGGUGUAAAAUAAAUAUUGCAUUAUUUCAUGCAAUUUUAUGUGAUAUUACACCCUGAAAUAUGUAGCCCAUCAGUAUGGGAAACCUACUUGACCGAAAUGUCAAGCUCAUAUAUGCGUUUAGCCUUUCAGCUUUUCAUCGGUCUGAUGGCCGAGUGGGCUAAGGCGCCAGCCCUUACUUUUGGUGCUGGGUUUGAAUCCCGUCGGUUGCAACUUUUUUUUUGUGUUUGCAAAAAUUGUACAUGCAGGGUGUAAUAUUAAGUGUUUAUUUUGACGAAGGUGAUGUGCAUGCUUUUGCAUGCGAUUUUACCAUCGGAUUUUUUGCUGUGUAGACGAGAUUGUCUCGAAUACGGCGCAGGAGAUAACUUGUUCUUGCUGGCGAUCGACGUGAAAAGUACAACGCUCAAUGGAAUCUAUGGAGGAAUCUACCAUUCUCCCAGCAGCAGUGACGUUGGUUUCAUAGACAGCUUUGAGAGUUGGCUGAGGACGGUCUUCCAGGACUGGAACGAACCGGGAUACGCACGUGAGCUGAAGAACGUUACCGAAGCCUUAGGGAUGAAGCAGAUAGUAUCAGAACCGACGCGUGUUGGUCCCAGUAGCAGUACAAUUAUUGACCUUGUCUUCAAAAACUUGGAGGGGUGGAGGCGCGCGUCACUGAAGAGCUUAAGAUAACUGAUCACGAGACCAUCUAUAUUCACGUGGGAGAAACCACGAUUAACCUACCGGAGCAGAAAAAGUGUAACGUUACAUUAGCUGGAAACGGUAUACGAAGGAACGACUGCAAGCUGCGCUACGAGCAAAACUGAGGAGUGCUGACGUUCCCUGUUUGAAAAAUGUCGCACGUCGUACGAGUUGUCGCACGGUUUUGAUUUUACCGUUUCGAUAUCGAUUGAUCGAAAGGACGACAAACGUGCGACAAACACUCGACAAGCCCGACAUUGUUUCUCCUAUCGAUUUUCCUUCAAUUUGACGUCACGAUUUUCGUCGACGCAAGCAGUUUGACAGUUCUUUUCAGUUGGUCUUGUUUUAACUUGAUUGCAGUUUUCGUUGCUGUUGAGCUUCGCAAGGAUUUUGACCGGUUGGUAGGUUUCCUGAUUUCGGUCAUCGUGGUGGUAGAGGCGAAGGAGGAUGGGAAAUAGAGAUAACCCGGCGGCCAUGCCGGAAGACGGGAGGAACCGGUCUGCGGUCAAGUAAACGGAUGUUUUACUUUCCGCGGGAGGUUGCGGAGUAUUCCCAAAGGAGAAGAAGGAUGAAAUACCAAGUUCCGCCCAAGGGAACAUAAAGAGAGAAACGGAACUUCCAAUUCCUAGGGAGUUGUUCACUGUUCUGGGUGAAUGAAAAGGAGGAGGAGGACGGAAUAAUAUACACCCGGCGGCGUUUCUGAUCCGACAGAAGUUGUUAUCAAUGGAACUGGUAACCAAAAAUAUUCCAAUCGAAUCCUGCUGCUGACAACCCAGCGUUUCCGUGUUGUCCCACGGAACGAAAGCUGUAACGAUCGCACCGGAAGUGCGUAAACCGACGUUGUCCCGUACUCCGGUGGCCAUCAAUCCGUGGGAAAUAAACGAAAGAGCCGCUUCAGUGCCGUAUCUACACGCUGGCGUCGGUUCGAAAAGAUGGCUGACAAAAUCCGGCCAAGAUGCCGAAGCGACGAGAUGAGCUAAAAGGCCAACCGGAAGACAACGCCAAAAACCACGUGAAGAUCGCAACUUAGAUUAAUUUACAGAAUAAACACAUCUAAAAACUAUUUAAAAAUAAAAAAAAAAGUUUAUUUUUACUGCAACAUAACCUAAAAAGCCGAAAAAACAGCACACGACAAAGGCACGACAACCUAAAUAACAAAACCGUGCGACGUCGGUCGAAUGUCGUACGACAAUGUCGAACAAUUUCGAUGAUCGAUCGCACGACAAAUACGACAUUUUGGUGCAAAAACGUAUGACAUUCGUGCGAAUGUCGCACGACAUUGUCGUGCGACGUCGUACGGUUGCACGGACGACAAACGACGGACAUCCGACGGACUUUUCAGUCAGGGUUGGAGUGACCGUUGGAGAAGUUGCACAAACUUUUGGCUCAACGCUGGCGACGGCGUUUGCGGAGCUGACCGAUCUAUGUAGCAAUGACCGGAAAGUCUCAAACGUGGUAUGGAGAACAGCUGAGAAACCUUAAAACCGAGCGGGAUGAUGCCUACAGGACCUUCAAACAUACAAAAAGGCUGGAUGGUUGGAACCUUUAUAAAGUGCUUCGAAACCGCUACGUCCGAGGACUGAGAUCAUCAAAGAACCUGGCAGUAGAAGGGGAAAUUCUAAGUUGUCACAGAAAUCCUAAGAAGCUUUGAAGAAGCCUAAAAUCGCUGAUUCGGCCUGGUGGAGAACCUCCAAUAGAAAUUGUUUUCGAGGGAGCGCGAAGCGAAAGGGAAACGGCGGAACGCUUGAAUCAUUUCUUCGUGAAAAGUGUAGAGACAAUCCUUAGAAACAUCCCACCAGCCCAGGUGGAACUAGUAGUAGCACCAGCAGAAGUAAGGGUAAACCAAAAUGGCAGCGAGGACUUAUUAACGGAGCUUCAACCAACCACCUUGACGAAACUGAAAGAAACAGUCUUGUAACAAAUGGUGGGCUACCCCAGUAUUAAUGAGACCCCCCUUUUUGCCUCAGGGUCGGCAUGUUAAUCCGGAAUCGAAAAGGGAAACACUCGAUUGAACCUACAGACAAAACAAACCCACUUUAUUCUGGUUACCAGCGUUUUAUUCGGCAGACUAAAGCUGCGCGUUCUUAGUUCUUCUUCUCCCACUUCCUUACUAACUAAUCCUACCUCACACGUCCUUCUUCCUUCUUCCUCUGGUUUGGGGCCCCUUUCCGGAACUGUUGCUGCUACCGCUUCACUCCACUCGUUUCAAGCUCGCGUUCCUCGAACCACGGCUACACCAAGGAUCUGACACGCAUGCAGUUUCCUGAAGUCCCCGCCAGAGGCGCUGUCAAUAUUGUUUACGCGUGGUUUUUGAAAAGGUCGUAUGAAAUAAAUACAUAAAAUUAUUUUUUGCCAGAUUGUUUUUUUAUCUUUUGCGAAUAUUUGCGAGAUAAUUUCAAUUAUUACGUAAAUUUUCCACAUUUUACAUUUAUUAGAUCAAUAAAACAAAGUUCUACUUGACGAUACAAUACAACCAAACUCACUAAACUAAACUAAAAAUCUUAAUAUCUUCAGUUACCUUGAAAUAAAAUAAAAUUAGUUUGAUUCUUCCUGACCGUUGGUUUAAAAUGAAUGGAAUAGUUAUUAAAUUUCAGUCAAUCAAACUUUAAACUAGCUGUCACUGAACACCACAGCAAGGGUCCUGAUUGUUCAAAAUCAACCACUCCAUUCGCGAGCACAAAUAGCAGGCGACGCGAUACUGCCCUGAUGAAUUCCUACUGUUUGUCACUUUCUCACCAUUCGCUCCCGAACACUCUCGCUUCUACUCUCCUUCUCUCUCUGAUCGGCUCAGUCUCCGAACGGCUCAGGCAGGCCGAACGUAACCGAUCACUCUGAACUGAAAACAUUUAUUCUCUGAUGCGCAGCGUUAUACUCAUUCAUUUGGGUUGCCUAAAAUCAAUGUUAUCAAUUCAAUUGUGCAUUUAUUUUGAUUUCAUAACAUUAUAGACACCAUUCAAAGAAACUUCCACCAAGAAAAAUCAAAUUGAUGGCAAACUGAGGGCGUGAAGACAAAAAGACUGCCGCGCUGGCAUUUUGUGAGAAUGGCUCUUCGCUGAGCAUGGUAGUGUGUGAGUGUCGUCGAGCGACGGAGUAGGCAAACAUUUUCACGAUGUAUUUGUUCGCUGAGUGAACAGUUCGGGCCACUCGCUGGCUGCUUGCGAGUAUCAUUCGCUCAUGAAUGCUAGCG